AUUGAACGCUGGCGGCAUGCCUUACACAUGCAAGUCGAACGGCAGCACGGGAGCAAUCCUGGUGGCGAGUGGCGAACGGGUGAGUAAUAUAUCGGAACGCGCCCAGUCGUGGGGGAUAACGCAGCGAAAGCUGUGCUAAUACCGCAUACGAUCUACGGAUGAAAGCGGGGGAUCGCAAGACCUCGCGCGAUUGGAGCGGCCGAUAUCAGAUUAGCUAGUUGGUGAGGUAAAGGCUCACCAAGGCGACGAUCUGUAGCUGGUCUGAGAGGACGACCAGCCACACUGGAACUGAGACACGGUCCAGACUCCUGCGGGAGGCGGCAGUGGGGAAUUUUGGACAAUGGGCGAAAGACUGAUCCAGCAAUGCCGCGUGCAGGAUGAAGGCCUUCGGGUUGUAAACUGCUUUUGUACGGAACGAAACGGUGAGCUCUAAUACAGUUUGCUAAUGACGGUACCGUAAGAAUAAGCACCGGCUAACUACGUGCCAGCAGCCGCCGUAA
rnacentral:rRNA from 1 species